AACGAACGCUGGCGGCGUGCGUAACACAUGCAAGUCGAACGUGAUUGAGGAGCUUGCUUCUCAUGAAAGUGGCGCACGGGUGAGUAACACGUGGAUAAUCUGCCUGGAGAUUCGGGAUAACACUUCGAACGGGGUGCUAAUACCGGAUAAGCCCACGGUCUCUUUGGAGGCUGCGGGAAAAGGGGGCCUCUGAAUAUGCUCCUGUCCCUAGAUGAGUCCGCGGCCCAUUAGCUAGUUGGUCGGGUAAUGGCCUACCAAGGCGACGAUGGGUAGCUGGUCUGAGAGGAUGAUCAGCCACACUGGAACUGGGACACGGUCCAGACUCCUACGGGAGGCAGCAGUGGGGAAUUUUGCGCAAUGGGCGAAAGCCUGACGCAGCAACGCCGCGUGAGUGAUGAAGGCCUUCGGGUCGUAAAGCUCUGUCAGAGGGGAAGAACCGCUUCAUGGCUAAUAUUCAUGAGGUCUGACGGUACCCUCAAAGGAAGCACCGGCUAACUCCGUGCCAGCAGCCGCAGUAAAAC
rnacentral:rRNA from 1 species